GGCAGGCAAUUGAGUUUAUCGCUCUUCCCAGUUCCGGGCAUCUGUCCUGGUUAUUCCUCAUUUGCUACCCUGAACUCUUUCCCCAUCCCGCCACCGCAUUCCUCCUUCUCUGUCUGCCUUGGGAAGUCAACUGCUGCAGACACCAUUACCCAGGCUCCUUUGCUGCUUGGUUUCUGGUCAUCUGGGGGACAUUUACAGUUUCAAAUAUCACCAGCUACUACUGAAAAGGAAGAAAAGGAAGACUCUCUUGCGUUUGAACUCUGUGGACAGGCUGAUAUUUUAAACUCUGGAAGGGAGGGCCUCAUGGAAACCUUUACCUUCACUGUCACAAGGAUUUCUACUUCUUGUUUCUGGGUGGCCACUGAGUUGAUUUCAGUGGUGUCCAAUUAGGAAUAUAUUUUUUGACUUCAAGAUCCAGCGUCAGACAUGGAGACUGCCUUACAGAGACUGCUUAAUCAGUUCCCACAAUUGUGACUCCAGCUCAUAGUACCCAGCCACCAUUCGUAAAGAAGGCUCAACAAGCCCAUGCAGGGAGAUCAUGUGGAGCAGCCCAUUUGGAGAGGAGCUUGAAUCCUCAACUGAUACCUGGCAUUAACCACCAGACAUGGGACUGAGUGAGGCCUUGGAAGUUUCCAGCCCCCAGCUUUUGAGUCUUCCAGCUGAAGCCUUGGACAUUAUGGAGAAGAGUGGAACAGAGAUAAAAUGUCCCCAUAAAACCUUCCCCAAAUUGAAUAUUUGUGAACAGAAUAAAUAUUGUUGUU